AUUAGACGAAUCAUCUGGAAAGAUGAAUCAAAGAAGGUAAUAAUCCUGUAGUCGAAAAUGUUGUCUCUCUUGAGUGGAUCCUGAGUACGACGGAGCACGUGAAAUUCCGUCGGAAUCUGGGAGGACCAUCUCCUAAGGCUAAAUACUCUCUAGUGACCGAUAGUGAACCAGUACCGUGAGGGAAAGGUGAAAAGCACCCCGGAAGGGGAGUGAAAUAGAACCUGAAACCGUGUGCUUACAAGUAGUCAGAGCCCGUUAAUGGGUGAUGGCGUGCCUUUUGUAGAAUGAACCGGCGAGUUACGAUUUGAUGCAAGGUUAAGCAGUAAAUGUGGAGCCGUAGCGAAAGCGAGUCUGAAUAGGGCGUUUAGUAUUUGGUCGUAGACCCGAAACCAGGUGAUCUACCCUUGGUCAGGUUGAAGUUCAGGUAACACUGAAUGGAGGACCGAACCGACUUACGUUGAAAAGUGAGCGGAUGAACUGAGGGUAGCGGAGAAAUUCCAAUCGAACCUGGAGAUAGCUGGUUCUCUCCGAAAUAGCUUUAGGGCUAGCCUCAAGUGAUGAUUAUUGGAGGUAGAGCACUGUUUGGACGAGGGGCCCCUCUCGGGUUACCGAAUUCAGACAAACUCCGAAUGCCAAUUAAUUUAACUUGGGAGUCAGAACAUGGGUGAUAAGGUCCGUGUUCGAAAGGGAAACAGCCCAGACCACCAGCUAAGGUCCCAAAAUAUAUGUUAAGUGGAAAAGGAUGUGGCGUUGCCCAGACAACUAGGAUGUUGGCUUAGAAGCAGCCAUCAUUUAAAGAGUGCGUAAUAGCUCACUAGUCGAGUGACACUGCGCCGAAAAUGUACCGGGGCUAAACAUAUUACCGAAGCUGUGGAUUGUCCUUUGGACAAUGGUAGGAGAGCGUUCUAAGGGCGUUGAAGCAUGAUCGUAAGGACAUGUGGAGCGCUUAGAAGUGAGAAUGCCGGUGUGAGUAGCGAAAGACGGGUGAGAAUCCCGUCCACCGAUUGACUAAGGUUUCCAGAGGAAGGCUCGUCCGCUCUGGGUUAGUCGGGUCCUAAGCUGAGGCCGACAGGCGUAGGCGAUGGAUAACAGGUUGAUAUUCCUGUACCACCUAUAAUCGUUUUAAUCGAUGGGGGGACGCAGUAGGAUAGGCGAAGCGUGCGAUUGGAUUGCACGUCUAAGCAGUAAGGCUGAGUAUUAGGCAAAUCCGGUACUCGUUAAGGC
rnacentral:rRNA from 1 species